GACGAACGCUGGCGGCGUGCUUAACACAUGCAAGUCGAACGGUGAAGCUCCAGCUUGCUGGAGUGGAUCAGUGGCGAACGGGUGAGUAACACGUGAGCAACCUGCCCCUGACUCUGGAAUAAGCGCUGGAAACGGCGUCUAAUACUGGAUACGAGAAGGGUCCGCAUGGGCACUUUCUGGAAAGUUUUUCGGUUGGGGAUGGGCUCGCGGCCUAUCAGCUUGUUGGUGAGGUAAUGGCUCACCAAGGCGACGACGGGUAGCCGGCCUGAGAGGGCGACCGGCCACACUGGGACUGAGACACGGCCCAGACUCCUACGGGAGGCAGCAGUGGGGAAUAUUGCACAAUGGGCGAAAGCCUGAUGCAGCGACGCCGCGUGAGGGAUGACGGCCUUCGGGUUGUAAACCUCUUUCAGCAGGGAAGAAGCGAAAGUGACGUUACCUGCAGAAGAAGCACCGGCUAACUACGUG
rnacentral:rRNA from 1 species